CCUACGGGGGGCAGCAGUCGAGAAUCAUUCACAAUGGGGGAAACCCUGAUGGUGCGACGCCGCGUGGGGGAAUGAAGGUCUUCGGAUUGUAAACCCCUGUCAUGUGGGAGCAAAUUAAAAAGAUAGUACCACAAGAGGAAGAGACGGCUAACUCUGUGCCAGCAGCCGCGGUAAUACAGAGGUCUCAAGCGUUGUUCGGAAUCACUGGGCGUAAAGCGUGCGUAGGCUGUUUCGUAAGUCGUGUGUGAAAGGCCCGGGCUCAACCCGCGGACGGCACAUGAUACUGCGAGACUAGAGUAAUGGAGGGGGAACCAGAAUUCUCGGUGUAGCAGUGAAAUGCGUAGAGAUCGAGAGGAACACUCGUGGCGAAGGCGGGUUCCUGGACAUUAACUGACGCUGAGGCACGAAGGCCAGGGGAGCGAAAGGGAUUAGAUACCCGAGUAGUC
rnacentral:rRNA from 1 species